rnacentral:pre_miRNA from 1 species
UAUUCAGAUUAGUGCCAGUCAUGUGAAAUACAUAUGACUGGCACCAUUCUGGAUAAU